rnacentral:rRNA from 1 species
UACGUAGGGUGCAAGCGUUAAUCGGAAUUACUGGGCGUAAAGCGUGCGCAGGCGGUUAUAUAAGACAGUUGUGAAAUCCCCGGGCUCAACCUGGGAACUGCAUCUGUGACUGUAUAGCUAGAGUACGGUAGAGGGGGAUGGAAUUCCGCGUGUAGCAGUGAAAUGCGUAGAUAUGCGGAGGAACACCGAUGGCGAAGGCAAUCCCCUGGACCUGUACUGACGCUCAUGCACGAAAGGCGUGGGGAGCAAACG